UCCGGGAUUGUGUAGCUGGUAGCACAUGUGACUCUGGAUCACAGAGCCUAGGUUCGAAUCCUAGUCCCGGAGCCA
rnacentral:tRNA from 1 species